rnacentral:rRNA from 1 species
AUGUGCGGCAGGGCCAGGUGUACCCUCAGCGCGGCCCAGGCAGCCAGGGCCUUUGGCUUCCCGACCGCCACCUCCGCCGGCGGCGGCGGCGACGGAGGAGGAGACGCCCCCGCCGUACGGACGCUCCAGAUGGACCGGUUCCGGCCGUCGUACAACGUGACGCCGGGGGCGUAUCUGCCGGUGGGGACCCUGCGAGCGCGGGCGGCGGGCGGCGAAGGAGGUGCGGAGGAGCAAGGGCCGGUUAUCCAGUGCAUGAAGUGGGGGCUCGUCCCCAGCUUCUCAAGCAAGACCGACAAGCCCGACCAUUUCAGGAUGUUCAAUGCCAGAUCAGAGUCUAUAAAGGAAAAGGCUUCGUUUAGGCGACUUAUCCCGAAGAAUAGAUGUCUUGUUGCAGUAGAAGGGUUCUAUGAGUGGAAAAAGGAUGGAUCCAAAAAGCAACCAUAUUACAUUCAUUUCCAGGAUGAGAGGCCUCUUGUGUUUGCUGCCCUCUUUGACACUUGGACAAAUUCAGAAGGAGAGACCCUCCAUACAUUUACUAUUUUGACUACCCAUGUUUCAACUUCUUUGAAAUGGCUUCAUGAUAGAAUGCCGGUAAUCUUGGGCGAUGAAGACUCUGUUAAUGCUUGGUUGAACAAUAGCUCCGUGAAGCUGGAAGAAAUAACUGUACCCUAUGAAGGAACUGAUUUAGUUUGGUAUCCAGUGACAACUGCAAUGGGCAAAACAUCAUUUCAGGGUCCUGAUUGCAUCAAAGAGGUGAAAAUAGGACCCAGUGAAAAGCCAAUUUCAAAUUUCUUCACCAAGAAAGCAGCCGCACCAGUGAAGUCAGAGAAGGCAUCAGGAGAGUUUGCAGAAACACAAGCUUUCAAGACGGCGAAAGAGGAGCGCGAUGAUGAUUCAGGUGAAAACCCAUCAAACAAAACAGAGCAACACCACCAGGCUUCUCUAGAGAAGCAAAGUGCUUCAAGUACAGUAGUUAAGAAUGAACCUGUUACUUUGGAUCCACAAGUUUUCUAUAAAGCCGAUGAAGGUAUUAAGAAAGAAGACGGGAUGCUGCCCGACGAUCCAGUCGAGGAGCGAGAUCCUUUCGGCAUCAAGAGGAAGAUAGAGGACGCUGGAGUCGAGGCGGAGAUGGAGAUGGGGAAGAGUGGGAGAUCGCCGGUCACCCCUGUGAGGAAAAAGGAGAAGGGCCCAAAGGAUGGGCAAGCGUCGCUGUUUUCCUACUUUGCAAAGAAGUAG